GGGCCCCUCCAAAGCUGGCCUUCUCCUGUUCACAAGCUGGGAUCAAGAAGGUAGCAAGUGAUGGCUAGAGAGGACAUUCCUCCAGGGCCAGGUGCCCAGGUAGUUGAAGUGGGGGGUGCACAGGCUCAGGGAGGAGGAGUCAGCUAAAGAGAACCACAGAUGGGAGCUCAGCUGUUGCUUCCAACCUCCGGGUCAGCUUGGGGUGGGGGAGUGGCGAGCAGUGGUCCUGGACAAUUCAGAUGCGCACUAGUGUCCUAAGGGCUGCCUGGGGGCCAGUCUUCCUCCAUGUCACUAUCCAGCUAUGACAGGACCUUAGGCAAGUCACCUCAUCUCUAUCUCAGUUUCUUCAUCUGUAAAAUAGAGAGAGUCAUGGUCUUACCUUCUUCCAGGUCUACUUCUCAGUGAGAUAAGAGGGACAGAAGGGCUCUGAGAAGUUCGUGGCCCAAGUAGGUGAGAGGGGUGGCCUGUUUCUUUGCAGGCCUCAUGUCACUCUUUCUGCCCUGGUCCCUCCCUACACAGCUGCCUCUGCAAGGGCCCCAAGGCCACAUUCCAGAUGCACAAAAGCAUUUAUGGUUCUCUGUUGGGCAACUGACCUUCCAAAGGGGGCUGCUGACACUUUGCUCUCCACAGCGCGUAGCUUCACGUCUCUGCCUGUCCUGCCCCAGUUGGUUGACCUGGCCCUUUGAUGCUGGAAAGCGUCCCAGUGAUGACCUCAGUGGACAAGUCACUCCCCUCAGCUGGGCGCCUCCCCUCAGGCUCAGUAAAGUGACUCAUUUCAUUCUCACAACAACCUAUGAGGGACGGUGUCUACAGUCUCCACUUUAAUGAAGAGAAAGCUGAGCCCUACAGCGAGGAUGGACAUCAUGCCCCAGACCCACAGAAAGCGGGCUCCACCCGACUGUAAAGCUCCUCAAGGCGCCCCUGUAUUCCCAGGGCCUCACUGUUUCUGGGACAGAACAGACUGAACGAGUGGACCUUCUUCCAUCCCCAGCCUGCCCUGCCGCAUCCCACCCCACACCUGAUCAGUGAGCUAAUACACACGGGGCUCUCGAACAGCGCCUGGCACGUCAGUCUGUGUUACAUCAGCCCUUGCUGAAGAGGACAGGAAUCAAUCACAGCCCCCUUGUGGAGCCUGCAGUCCCUCCCCCGGUAACUGACUAGGCUCCUCUGACCUGGGCUGAAGUCACACCACAUCAUUCCACCCCGAGCUCUGCACACACUGCGGGAUUUCCGGAGAAGCCGAGUCAGGAAGGACUUCCUAAAGAGUAGCCUGGAGGGUCUGGGGCUUCUUGGGAGAGCUUGUCAGUGGGGCAGGCCCGGGGUCAGUGGGUUGGGGUGCGAGAUUUGGGGCACUAAGUGCUGGGGGAGGCAAGGUGGGGAGCAAAUGUGGAGCCAGGGCGCCACCUAGUGGCACCCUCUCCUCUCCAACCCCAGAAGCCUGGUGGAGGGGGAAGGGGGACCUCUCCUCCCUCCUCCACACCCUGAAGGGAGUGAAAGAACUUUGCAGCACCCAAUACGGGACAGGCAUUUUGCUUACAUUGCUUUAUUUAAUCUCUCCCCCAGCCCUUCAAUCCCCUUUUCCUUAGAAUAAGAAACCCAUGGCUCCCAGAGAUUAACUUGUGCAAGAUCACUCAGCCUGGAUUUGAGCCCAAGUCUCAGCCUCCAAAACUCAUGCUCAUUCUUCUACAUCCCCCAGGGGUGCAGCCACGGCAGCUAGGAGCAAAGGGGCAAAGGGGCGGGCGGACCC